rnacentral:tRNA from 1 species
GUUAUUUUGGCAGAAUAGUGCAAUUGAUUUAGAAUCAUAGAAUGUAAUUUAAUUUACAGAUAACA